AUCCAGCUAACGAGUCCCAAAUAAAACGAAACGCUCGUUCUAGAU
rnacentral:hammerhead_ribozyme from 1 species